AAUAAAAACACUUAAGACAAGUGGGUAACACUCCCUGAUUCUAGGUCCACCCAUAGUUCCCCUAGGAUGGAAUCCUUAAGGUAUUGUUCAAACAACACUCACGCUUGGUUCUGCAAAAUAAAAACUCUUAAGUACCCCAAUCAUAUGUUGUAACGAUAAAGGCCAAUCUAUAGGGUAACGAUAAAGGCCAACCUGUAACGAUAAAGGCCAAUCUAUAGGUUGACCUCGACCUUUAGCUUAUGGUAUAGAUAAAAGUAACGGCCUCUAAGUUUAUUAACCUAAAGGACUAAACGAUGAGAAAACCUUGUUUAUAAAGUAAUAACCUUUAAAUUUUUAAACAUUCUGGGGUCGCACGCCCUCACUCUCUUUAGGAGUGAGUGAUCGCGCCCCAAUAGCUGAUGUAAAUAAUAAGUGAUGAAGAGUUCAGGAAAAACGAUUACCUAAUGUCUAUAAUAAAUGAUGGGGAUUUCAGGAAAAACGAUGGCCUUAUUCGUUCCCCGAAAAGAUGGGCUUUUAUAUUAAACAAUUACCUUUUUUGGUUCCCCUUGAAGCGGCCCUUAUUUCUAACGUGUGGGAGGUUUUGUUGUACGAGUAAGUAGGGAGGGUUCGGUUCUCAUAAA
rnacentral:rRNA from 1 species